GUAAAGCUGCCCAGACGCCAGCAUAAGGCUCCAUUACCUCCUCGCGACCCUCUUCGUGCUCCUCCUGUUGCCUGUGUCGGCACAUGUGCCAUGAGAGCCCUGAGGCACUGUGUAAGAAGCCCGCCUUGCAUUGAAGUCACUGCUUGAGAGACCACGAGGAGAGAUCACCUGGAGAAACAAAGAUGCCCAAGAUGAUGUUCCGGUCCCCAGCUAGGUGCCAUCCCGGCCCAGGUGCCGGGUGUGUGCAUGAGCCUUGAGAUAAUUCCAGCCCCAUCCAACUGCCAACCCAUGAGCAUCUGACAGCUCCAGACACCUAGCUGAGUCCAAUUUAUCCCCAGAAUGGGAAUGGAAGAAAGAUGAAAAACCCUGAAUGUGAAAAAAUGGGUGGUGUCUGCAAACAUCAAAAAACCCAUGGGUGCAUCAUCCUGCCUGCAGAAUGCAAAAG